GGAGAAUCCUUGCAGUAGUGGGAACUACUGCCCCACGGGUUCUACGGCUGAGAAACGAUGCUUCAAGUUGACUUCAUGUAAUCCGAACACUGCAAGUCAGAAUAUUCAUGCAUAUGGGGCGAUGCUCAUAGCAGCUUUAGCCACACUUCUACUUAUAAUUUACAACUGUUCGGACCAAAUCAUCACCGUACGAGAAAGGAGACUUGCUAGAUCCCGG
rnacentral:misc_RNA from 1 species